AACGAACGCUGGCGGCAUGCCUAACACAUGCAAGUCGAACGAGACCUUCGGGUCUAGUGGCGCACGGGUGCGUAACGCGUGGGAACCUGCCCUUAGGUUCGGAAUAACUCCCCGAAAGGGGUGCUAAUACCGGAUAAUGUCUUCGGACCAAAGAUUUAUCGCCUUUGGAUGGGCCCGCGUUGGAUUAGCUAGUUGGUAGGGUAAAAGCCUACCAAGGCGACGAUCCAUAGCUGGUCUGAGAGGAUGAUCAGCCACACUGGGACUGAGACACGGCCCAGACUCCUACGUGAGGCAGCAGGGGGGAAUAUUGGACGAUGGGCGGAAGCGUGAUCCAGCAAGGCCGCGUGAGUGAUGAAGGCCUUAGGGUUGUAAAGCUCUUUUACCCGGGAUGAUAAUGACAGUACCGGGAGAAUAAGCGCCGGCUAACUCCGUG
rnacentral:rRNA from 1 species